GAGUUUGAUCCUGGCUCAGGAUGAACGCUGGCGGCGUGCCUAACACAUGCAAGUCGAGCGAAGCGCGCCCCGGAAUCCUUCGGGAGGAAGGGUCGCGACUGAGCGGCGGACGGGUGAGUAACGCGUGGGCAACCUGCCCCAUACAGGGGGACAACGGCCGGAAACGGCCGCUAAUACCGCAUGAUUCCUCUUGGCCGCAUGGCCGGGAGGGGAAAGCCGAGACGGUAUGGGAUGGACCCGCGUCUGAUUAGCUGGUUGGCGAGGUAACGGCUCACCAAGGCGACGAUCAGUAGCCGGCCUGAGAGGGCGACCGGCCACAUUGGGACUGAGACACGGCCCAAACUCCUACGGGAGGCAGCAGUGGGGAAUAUUGCACAAUGGGGGAAACCCUGAUGCAGCGACGCCGCGUGAAGGACGAAGUAUUUCGGUACGUAAACUUCUAUCAGCAGGGAAGAAAAUGACGGUACCUGACCAAGAAGCCCCGGCUAACUACGUGCCAGCAGCCGCGGUAAUACGUAGGGGGCGAGCGUUAUCCGGAUUUACUGGGUGUAAAGGGGGCGCAGACGGCCAUGGCAAGCCCGGUGUGAAAGGUGCGGGCACAACCCGCAGACUGCACUGGUAACUGCCUGGCUGGAGUGCCGGAGGGGUAAGCGGAA
rnacentral:rRNA from 1 species